CCCUCAUCAAUUCAAAAUAACACCUUCUGGUCUCUACACUUUAAUCGCAUAAAAUUUAAUACCCAUUAGUCCAAAAUUAAAUCCAAUGGAUCACUUUAUCGACUAUAUUUACUUUAAAAUAGCACCACACAUUCUAAUAAAUGUACAUGUGUGGCCCCAAAGUUGGAAUUUUUUCCAACACGGUGGGCAUCUGCAUGUUGCCUCAUUCGGUUCCUGGCCUUUUCCAAAUUUUGCUUUAGGCGUCGUAGCAGUUCAUCUCGGUCACAUAGCUCUUUAUCCACUUCUUGCACCACUACACUGCCUGGCAAAUAACGAGUAAUUACAGGCGAAGGUCUCCCAUACAAAGCCUGAAACGAGGUCAGUCCAAUCGCACGGUGGAAUGUGGUAUUAUACCAGAAUUCUGCCCAUGGUAAAUGAUGACUCCAUUGCUUUGGUGCUUGACUUGAUAGGCAUGGAAGAUAUAACUGAAGGCUUCGGUUUACUACUUCCGUCUGAUCAUCAGUCUCGAGGUGAUAGGCAGAUGACAUCUUAAAUUGUGUUCCUUACAACUUAAAGAAUUACUGCCAAGGAUUACUUGUAAACAAAGCAACACGGUCGCUAAUAAUAGUUCGAGGAAUACCAUAAAGGCGAGCCAUAUAUUCAAUAUACACCUCUGCAAUUUUCUUGGCUGUGAAUGGAUGAGUCGCAGCAAUGAAGUGGGCGUAUUUUGAGAGGCGACCUACUACAACCAGUAUGCUAUUUUUUCCGUUGGAGCUUGGCAAACCUUCUAUGAAGUCCAUAGAAAUGUCAUCCCAUACUUUUGAAGGCACGAGAAGAGGUUGAAGGAGACCUACUGGUGAUCGAGAGUCGGUCUUAUUUCUUUGGAUAAAUAGGCCAAGCUUUCUUUCUUGGACCCAAUGCUUUACUCAAAAAUGCCACUGGUCUACCUUGUUGGGACAAUAUAGCUCCAAUAUCUACAUCUGAAGCAUCGGUUUCUAUGACAAAAGUUUCAGUAAAAUUAGGAAUGGCCAAUACUGGGGUAGUAGUCAUUGCAAAUUUGAACUUCUCAAAGGCUUUUUCUGAAUUUUCAUCCCAGUGGAAUUGUCCUUUCUUCAACAAUUGUGUUAGAGGAUCUGCAUUAAUUCCGUAAUCGCGCACGAACUUACGAUAAUAUCCUGUAAGUCCUAAGAAACCACAAAGCUCUGUUACAUUCGUG
rnacentral:lncRNA from 1 species